CUUCUUUGAGGUACUACAUGUAACCCCGAUUAAAUUCUGAAGUGCUCUCUUGGACUGUUUUAACUCUGCAGUACUGGUGGUCCAACACUAGGGGGCGAUAUGUUUCUGAGAGACGCCCUUAAAGCUUCUAGCAGGAAGAACGUUUCCUACUCAGACCCCAGUGAGACAACGAGACGAAACGAGACGACACCGAAGGAGAAGUGGCUUUAAUGAAAGAUACUGCUGUACACAAUUCAGCACCUGUUAGAGAUACUUGAUUGUUUCAAGAUUUUCAAAAGUCCGAUUUUGAAGAUACCGUGGCUGGUUUUUUUCCACCCGUUCAGAGAGCGAGCCGUGCUCUGGAAGAUCAAAGCAGGAUCCGCGCUGUUGCUGUGGCCUCACCUGUUUUCCUGGAUGCACUGCUCCCCACCGGAAGGAGGUUAAGCUGGAUUUUCCAUUCCUAGGAUCUCCCAAGUAACUUUUCUGUUCUCGUUUCAAUUGCGCAUUUUUUUCUUCCUCCACCGCUGGAGAUUACCCCCCCUAUUUUUUCCCCCUGAGAUCUCAGAGUUUAAAGACUACUUUUUUUUUUGGACAUUUAUUGCGAAUUAGUGUUGGAUCCAACAUAGAGUCGUUGAGGGUUGAUUCGGAAUCUGUUAUUGUUUCUUGUGUGAUUAUUAUGAAGAAAUGUUGAGAUUUAUUGUUUACCUUUUUUUAUGUGUACCUGAUAUUUUUUUAAUUUAAUACAGAUUCUUUAUUUUACAUUUAAACUUGUGUUGAGUGUGUCAUUGUGGGUUGGAAGGGUGUACUAAGUCAGUAUUAAAUACAGCAUUCCUCCUUCACGAACUUAGCGAAUAAACAUAAAUUCUUUGAGCAUAAGUAGCCUCCUACCUAGCGUACAGGUACGCAGAGUUACA